ACGGAGGGUGCAAGCGUUAUCCGGAUUUAUUGGGUUUAAAGGGUGCGUAGGUGGAAUGAUAAGUCAGUGGUGAAAUCCUGCAGCUUAACUGUAGAACUGCCAUUGAUACUGUUGUUCUUGAGUGCAGUUGAGGUAGGCGGAAUGAGUAGUGUAGCGGUGAAAUGCUUAGAUAUUACUCAGAACACCGAUUGCGAAGGCAGCUUACUAAACUGUUACUGACACUGAUGCACGAAAGCGUGGGGAUCGAACAGGAUUAGAUACCCUGGUAGUCCACGCCGUAAACGAUGCUCACUCGCUGUUUGCGAUACACAGCAAGCGGCUUAGCGAAAGUGUUAAGUGAGCCACCUGGGGAGUACGAUCGCAAGGUUG
rnacentral:rRNA from 1 species